UACGAAGGGGGCUAGCGUUGCUCGGAAUCACUGGGCGUAAAGGGCGCGUAGGCGGCCAUUCAAGUCGGGGGUGAAAGCCUGUGGCUCAACCACAGAAUUGCCUUCGAUACUGUUUGGCUUGAGUUUGGUAGAGGUUGGUGGAACUGCGAGUGUAGAGGUGAAAUUCGUAGAUAUUCGCAAGAACACCAGUGGCGAAGGCG
rnacentral:rRNA from 1 species